AUAGUACACAAAACCAUGUAUGAGGAGGAUAUCGCCGCCCUGGUCGUGGAUAACGGCUCCGGCAUGUGUAAGGCCGGCUUCGCGGGGGACGACGCGCCCAGGGCCGUCUUCCCGUCCAUCGUCGGGAGACCGAGGCAUCAGGGUGUGAUGGUCGGAAUGGGCCAGAAGGACAGCUAUGUCGGUGACGAGGCCCAGAGCAAGAGGGGCAUCCUGUCACUCAAGUACCCGAUCGAGCACGGCAUCGUCACCAACUGGGACGACAUGGAGAAGAUCUGGCACCACACCUUCUACAACGAGCUGCGUGUCGCCCCGGAGGAACAUCCAGUUCUCCUGACGGAGGCUCCCCUCAACCCCAAGGCUAACAGGGAAAAGAUGACACAGGCCAUGUUCGAAACGUUCAACUGUCCUGCCAUGUAUGUCAACAUCCAAGCCGUGCUGUCCCUGUACGCCUCCGGCCGCACCACGGGGAUCGUGAUGGACUCCGGGGACGGCGUGACCCACACCGUGCCGAUCUACGAGGGGUACGCCCUGCCGCACGCCAUCCUGCGCCUGGACCUGGCCGGGAGGGACCUGACAGACUACCUGAUGAAGAUCCUGACAGAGCGCGGUUACACCUUCGUCACAACAGCUGAGAGGGAAAUCGUCCGUGACAUCAAGGAGAAGCUGUGUUACGUCGCCCUGGACUUCGAACAGGAGAUGGCGACGGCCGCCUCCAGUUCUAGUCUGGAGAAGAGCUACGAGCUGCCCGACGGCCAGGUCAUCACCAUCGGGAACGAGAGGUUCCGCUGCCCAGAGACACUGUUCCAGCCUUCCUUCAUCGGUAUGGAGUCAACUGGCAUCCACGAGACCACGUACAACAGCAUCAUGAAGUGCGACAUCGACAUCCGUAAGGACCUGUACGCCAACACCGUGCUGUCCGGCGGCACCAGCAUGUUCCCCGGUAUCGCCGACCGUAUGCAGAAGGAGAUCACCGCCCUGGCACCCAGCACCAUGAAGAUCAAGAUCAUCGCUCCUCCCGAGAGGAAGUACUCCGUGUGGAUCGGCGGGUCCAUCCUGGCCUCCCUGUCCACCUUCCAACAGAUGUGGAUCAGCAAGCAAGAGUACGACGAGUCCGGGCCUUCUAUCGUCCACCGUCCUAUAGUACAAACAACCAUGUAUGAGGAGGAUAUCGCCGCCCUGGUUGUGGAUAACGGCUCCGGCAUGUGUAAGGCCGGCUUCGCGGGGGACGACGCGCCCAGGGCCGUCUUCCCGUCCAUCGUCGGGAGACCGAGGCAUCAGGGUGUGAUGGUCGGAAUGGGCCAGAAGGACAGCUAUGUCGGUGACGAGGCUCAGAGCAAGAGGGGCAUCCUGUCACUCAAGUACCCCAUCGAACACGGCAUCGUCACCAACUGGGACGACAUGGAGAAGAUCUGGCACCACACCUUCUACAACGAGCUGCGUGUCGCCCCGGAGGAACAUCCAGUUCUCCUGACGGAGGCACCACUCAACCCCAAGGCUAACAGGGAAAAGAUGACACAGGCCAUGUUCGAGACGUUCAACUGUCCCGCCAUGUAUGUCAACAUCCAAGCCGUGCUGUCCCUGUACGCCUCCGGCCGCACCACGGGGAUUGUUCUCGAUACCGGGACGGCGUGACUCACACCGUGCCGAUCUACGAGGGGUACGCCCUGCCGCACGCCAUAGAGCGUCUGGACCUGGCCGGACGUGACAUGACCGACUACCUAACCAGGCUGCUGACCGAGAGAGGACACAGUCUGGUGACCACUGCUGAAAGGGAGAUUGUCCGUGACAUGAAGGAGAAGCUGUGUUACGUCUCCCUGGACUUCGAGCAGGAGAUGGCGACGGCCGCUUCUAGCUCUGCCCUGGAGAGGAGCUACGAGCUGCCCGACGGCCAGGUCAUCACCAUAGGGAACGAGAGGUUCCGCUGCCCAGAGGCACUGUUCCAGCCUUCCUUCAUCGGCAUGGAAGCUGUAGGCAUCCACGAGACCACGUUCAACAGCAUCAUGAAGUGCGACAUCGACAUCCGUAAGGAACUGUACGCCAACACCGUGCUGUCCGGCGGCACCAGCAUGUUCCCCGGUAUGGCCGAUCGUAUGCAGAAGGAGAUCACCGCCCUGGCACCCAGCACCAUGAAGAUCAAAAUCAUCGCUCCUCCCGAGAGGAAGUACUGUGUCUGGAUCGGCGGGUCUAUCAUCGCUUCUCUGUCCACCUUCCAACAGAUGUGGAUCAGCAAGCAAGAGUACGACGAGUCCGGCCCGGCUAUUGUCCACCGUAAAUGCUUUUAAUCCGCUUUUUUAUAACAGUUUUAUCAGUUCGCGUGUUCAUCAUAUGCUUUAAAGUAGCGAUUGAUAGCAUCGUUUGAUGUUUGAUGUCUAUGAUGGCUGUUUACAGGUAACGCUCAUGACUUAUUUGUGGAGCACUCGGAAAAAAGCACAAAGCAAUACUAUAACACAUGAACUGCGCCGCUAUAAGUAGUACAAUGUACCUUCAUAUAGGUGCUGAGAAUGUAUUUCUUAUGGCAAAGUGUCCGUGACGCAAAAUAUUAUAGUCUUUUUACUAAGCUGUAAAUAGGUCUGCUUAAAGCAACUUUGACGGUAAUAAAUUAUGUUUU